rnacentral:rRNA from 1 species
GAUCCUGGCUCAGGACGAACGCUGGCGGCGCGCCUAACACAUGCAAGUCGAACGAGAGAUGAGGAGCUUGCUCUUCAAAUCGAGUGGCGAACGGGUGAGUAACGCGUGAGGAACCUGCCUUAUACAGGGGGAUAACAACCAGAAAUGGUUGCUAAUACCGCAUAAGCGCACAGGACCGCAUGGUCCGGUGUGAAAAACUCCGGUGGUAUAAGAUGGACCCGCGUUGGAUUAGCUAGUUGG